rnacentral:rRNA from 1 species
UACGGAGGGUGCAAGCAUUAAUCGGAUUUAUUGGGCGUAAAGGGCGCGUAGGCUGGAGUAUAAGUCAGAUGUGAAAUCCCGGGGCUCAACCUCGGAACAGCAUUUGAAACUAUAUUUCUUGAGGGUAGGCGGAGAAAACGGAAUUCCACAAGUAGCGGUGAAAUGCGUAGAUAUGUGGAAGAACACCGGUGGCGAAAGCGGUUUUCUAGCUUAUACCUGACGCUGAUGCGCGAAAGCAAGGGGAUCAAACAGG